rnacentral:rRNA from 1 species
CUUUAAUGUUUGAUGUUCUAACGUGGACCCGUGAUCCGGGUUGCGGACAGUGUCUGGUGGGUAGUUUGACUGGGGCGGUCUCCUCCUAAAGAGUAACGGAGGAGCACGAAGGUUGGCUAAUCCUGGUCGGACAUCAGGAGGUUAGUGCAAUGGCAUAAGCCAGCUUGACUGCGAGCGUGACGGCGCGAGCAGGUGCGAAAGCAGGUCAUAGUGAUCCGGUGGUUCUGAAUGGAAGGGCCAUCGCUCAACGGAUAAAAGGUACUCCGGGGAUAACAGGCUGAUACCGCCCAAGAGUUCAUAUCGACGGCGGUGUUUGGCACCUCGAUGUCGGCUCAUCACAUCCUGGGGCUGAAGUAGGUCCCAAGGGUAUGGCUGUUCGCCAUUUAAAGUGGUACGCGAGCUGGGUUUAGAACGUCGUGAGACAGUUCGGUCCCUAUCUGCCGUGGGCGCUGGAGAACUGAGGGGGGCUGCUCCUAGUACGAGAGGACCGGAGUGGACGCAUCACUGGUGUUCGGGUUGUCAUGCCAAUGGCACUGCCCGGUAGCUAAAUGCGGAAGAGAUAAGUGCUGAAAGCAUCUAAGCACGAAACUUGCCCCGA